CUCUCUAAAUCCGCAUAUAGUAUUUUUCAAUUACCCGUUAUUGUUGUAAAGCAAGAGUUAGGUUUUUUUGCUAGACUGGCAGUUCGAAAAUGUUAAAUCUAGUUGAUUAAUAGGAAGGGUUCAGUGGCUGCAACUUGGUAGCAGAGGAUGAUUUUUGCUCCUCAGAGGCACCAGAUCGUACCUUCAAAAUUUCUGGUGGUUUAUGCUUCUGUCCUUACCCCAUCGCCAUCAAUCAUUUUCGCUAUCUUUUACUCUGCGAACGUAGAUUUGAAAGAUAAAAUAGAUGUAUUAAAGCUCGAAUACUCAUUAAAUACUACAAAAUAUAAGAGUUCGUAUAUCUAAAAUUAUUAUACAUCCAACAAUUAAAAUGGGUCUAAAUUAAGGAGAAAUUAUUUAUCACAUAAAUACGUAUAAGUGGCUUAGCAUACAGCCAAACAACUAUUUGCCUGUUUAAAUACAUUAUGAUAGAAUAUUUAUUUGGUUAUAUUAUUAUUUUUACUUGGUAUAAAUCCAUCCAUGGAACCAUGUCUUUCACAAGAUGUUGAAUUUCAGAGUAUUAGUUUAUAAUUAGCUUCAAUGAAUUUAAUCUUACAAAUUGUUCAUCCAUGAAAUGCAGUUAAAAAAAAAUAAAAUAAAAUCUUAGAAUUAAAGCACAAGUUUUUAUUUCGCGAAAAUACGAGUUUACAGUAAUCAGUAAAUUUGCAAUGUGUUAAAUGCAUAUGUUUUACAGUAACGAAUUAUCAUGUUCUGAUGACUUGUUACAUUUUUUCAGAGUUUUCCGAAGAGGCGAAGAAAGAAGAAAGAGAAAUUUAAAAAUUUGGCUGCAAGUGAAAAUACUGAAAGUACCGUUACAUUUUCCGUUUUGAACCCUUCCAGUAUAAACGCCCUCUGUAAAUGCUUUACUUUGAACGAGGCGGGUCUAUUCGCCUUAUAGAUGGGCCUCCCGGUCUCCAUAAAGCAGGAACUCUUUGAAGCAGAAAAUCCUGCCAAAGAAUUGACCUUUAGAUUGCUACGUUUGUUGGGAGGAUCAAAGCAUAGUAGAGUAAGAAUCAGAAAAAUCCAUAAAGGAUUAAUGAUCAUCAACAGAAAAGAUCUGGCUGAAAUAUUUAGUAAAGCUUUCAAAGAGGAUCUUCCUUUUCCUGAGGACACAAUUACCUCGUCAGUCUUGAACUUCUCAAGAACAGAUUCAGAAGAACUCAUUUUCUAAACAUGUGUAGAGUAUUUCUGAAUAAAUGUACUGAGGUCGAAAAGAAGGGUACCCUAUUUAUACAGUAUUAUGAAAAUUAUAAGUAUAUUCCUCUUUUUUACAUUUCCUUUGUGUUUUCACUAUUAAAUAUAACAAUAAUAUGUUUUAAAAUU